ensembl:snRNA U6 U6 spliceosomal RNA
UAAUAAUGUAAUAAAAUAGUAACAAUACAGAAAAGAUUUGCAUAAUCCUUGCACAAGGAUAAGCAUGCAAAUUCAUGAUGCAUUCUGUACUUUU